GAUGAACGCUGGCGGCGUGCUUAGCACAUGCAAGUCGAACGGAAAGGCCCAAGCUUGCUUGGGUACUCGAGUGGCGAACGGGUGAGUAACACGUGGGUGAUCUGCCCUGCACUUCGGGAUAAGCCUGGGAAACUGGGUCUAAUACUGGAUAGGACCACUUCUUGGAUGUUGUGGUGGAAAGUUUUUUCGGUGUGGGAUGAGCUCGCGGCCUAUCAGCUUGUUGGUGGGGUAAUGGCCUACCAAGGCGUCGACGGGUAGCCGGCCUGAGAGGGUGUACGGCCACAUUGGGACUGAGAUACGGCCCAGACUCCUACGGGAGGCAGCAGUGGGGAAUAUUGCACAAUGGGCGCAAGCCUGAUGCAGCGACGCCGCGUGGGGGAUGACGGCCUUCGGGUUGUAAACUCCUUUCGCUAGGGACGAAGCGUUUUGUGACGGUACCUGGAGAAGAAGCACCGGCUAACUACGUG
rnacentral:rRNA from 1 species